rnacentral:lncRNA from 1 species
CCAACUUGAAUGCUUCCUGAUUAAAUAUAUACAGGAGUGAUUUCAGAGGAAUUUAAGUUUUGGAUCAUUCUUUUGAGAAAGAAAGAAAAGUACCCUUUUAAAAGAGGUGGCUCUUGAACAACACAGGUUUGAACUGCAUCAUUCCACUUAUACACAGACUUUCUUCUGCCACUGCCACUCCUGAGACAACAUGACCAAUCUCUCCCCUUCCUCCUCCUCAGCGUACUUUCAACAUAAAGACGACGAGGAUAAAGGCAUUUAUGAUGAACUACUUCCACAUAAUGAAUAAUUGAACAAAGGAGAGAAUUGUGAGAGUGAGAAAAAGUGAGACAAAGAAGAAAAACUAUAAAUCAGCAAAAUACAGUGCCAAGAGCUCUGGACCACAAAUCAGAAGACCUGAGCCCUAAUUCCUUUCCAGUCAUUGGAUUUGUUCGUCGCUUGCCAAAACAGCAGCGAACUCUCUGUCAAACUGCAACUCAUUUUAUCGGAGCAAAAACUGAACAAAGAACUGCUAUCAUUUCUGAGGUCAGAGGCAGUGCAGCUUGUGUUACAACUCAAAAGAGUAAUACUCUGAAAAAAGAAAAAAAAAGAUGGCGCUGAAAAUAAACAUGUUCAGCAGCCAUUGUGAUUCAACUUACCCAGAUGUGCUUUUCAUGAGAUGGAGAAGGACGGAUGGAAAAGAAAAGCACACAAAUGUUAAUGGAUACAGUUCAAUCCAAAGAAAACCAUGGAAUAAAACAAGAGCAUUAUUUAAGAUGUGA